rnacentral:rRNA from 1 species
UGGGGAAUAUUGCACAAUGGGCGCAAGCCUGAUGCAGCCAUGCCGCGUGUAUGAAGAAGGCCUUCGGGUUGUAAAGUACUUUCAGCGGGGAGGAAGGGAGUAAAGUUAAUACCUUUGCUCAUUGACGUUACCCGCAGAAGAAGCACCGGCUAACUCCGUGCCAGCAGCCGCGGUAAUACGGAGGGUGCAAGCGUUAAUCGGAAUUACUGGGCGUAAAGCGCACGCAGGCGGUUGAUUGAGUCAGAUGUGUAAUCCCCGGGCUUAACCCGGGAAUUGCAUCUGAUACUGGUCAGCUAGAGUCUUGUAGAGGGGGGUAGAAUUCCAUGUGUAGCGGUGAAAUGCGUAGAGAUGUGGAGGAAUACCGGUGGCGAAGGCGGCCCCCUGGACAAAGACUGACGCUCAGGUGCGAAAGCGUGGGGAGCAAACAGG